UACGUAGGGGGCAAGCGUUGUCCGGAUUUAUUGGGCGUAAAGAGCGUGUAGGCGGCUUGGUAGGUCCGCUGUGAAAACUCGAGGCUCAACCUCGAAGAUGUCGGGCGGAAACCCACUUGGCAUAGAGUCCGGAAGAGGAGAGUGGAAUUCCUGGUGUAGCGGUGAAAUGCGCAGAUAGUCAGGAAGAACACCCGUGGCGAAGGCGGCUCUCUGGGACGGUACUGACGCUGAGACGCGAAAGCGUGGGGAGCGAACAGG
rnacentral:rRNA from 1 species